CCUACGGUGGGCUGCAGUGGGGAAUAUUGGACAAUGGGCGAAAGCCUGAUCCAGCCAUGCCGCGUGUGUGAAGAAGGCCUUCGGGUUGUAAAGCACUUUCAGUGGGGAAGAAAGCCUUGGGGCUAAUACCCUCGAGGAAGGACAUCACCCACAGAAGAAGCACCGGCUAACUCCGUGCCAGCAGCCGCGGUAAUACGGAGGGUGCGAGCGUUAAUCGGAAUUACUGGGCGUAAAGCGCGCGUAGGCGGUCUGAUAAGCCGGUUGUGAAAGCCCCGGGCUCAACCUGGGAACGGCAUCCGGAACUGGCAGGCUAGAGUGCAGGAGAGGAAGGUAGAAUUCCCGGUGUAGCGGUGAAAUGCGUAGAGAUCGGGAGGAAUACCAGUGGCGAAGGCGGCCUUCUGGACUGACACUGACGCUGAGGUGCGAAAGCGUGGGUAGCAAACAGGAUUAGAUACCCUGGUAGUC
rnacentral:rRNA from 1 species